AUCGAACGCUAGCGGGAUGCUUUACACAUGCAAGUCGAACGGAGUGGCGGAGGGGUGUGUAAUAUAACGGACCGUCCCCAGUAGCGGGGGAUAACCACUCGAAAGAGUGGCAAAUACCGCAUACUAUUGGGGCGGGCGCUCUCGGAUUAGCUAGUUGGUGGGGUAAAGGCUCACCAAGGCAAGGACCCGUAGCUGGUCCGAGAGGACGACCAGCCACACUGGGACUUAGACACGGCCCAGGCUCCUACGGGAGGCAGCAGGGGGGAAUUUUGGACAAUGGGGGAAGCCCUGAUACAGCCAUCCCGCGUGUAUGAUGAAGGCCUUCGGGUUGUAGAGUACUUUUGGCAGAGGAGCGGUAGCUGCAGAAUAAGCACCGGCUAACUACGUGCCAGCAGCCGCGGUAAUAC
rnacentral:rRNA from 1 species